UACGAAGGGGGCUAGCGUUGUUCGGAAUCACUGGGCGUAAAGCGCACGCAGGCGGAUCGUUAAGUCGGGGGUGAAAUCCCGAGGCUCAACCUCGGAACUGCCUUCGAUACUGGCGAUCUUGAGUCCGGGAGAGGUGAGUGGAACUCCGAGUGUAGAGGUGAAAUUCGUAGAUAUUCGCAAGAACACCAGUGGCGAAGGCGGCUCACUGGCCCGGUACUGACGCUGAGGUGCGAAAGCGUGGGGAGCAAACAGG
rnacentral:rRNA from 1 species